AUUGAACGCUGGCGGCAGGCUUAACACAUGCAAGUCGAGCGGGGGAAGGUAGCUUGCUACUGGACCUAGCGGCGGACGGGUGAGUAAUGCUUAGGAAUCUGCCUAUUAGUGGGGGACAACAUCUCGAAAGGGAUGCUAAUACCGCAUACGUCCUACGGGAGAAAGCAGGGGAUCUUCGGACCUUGCGCUAAUAGAUGAGCCUAAGUCGGAGUAGCUAGUUGGUGGGGUAAAGGCCUACCAAGGCGACGAUCUGUAGCGGGUCUGAGAGGAUGACGCGGCCCACUGGGACUGAGACACGGCCCAGACUCCUACGGGAGGCAGCAGUGGGGAAUAUUGGACAAUGGGGGGAACCCUGAUCCAGCCAUGCCGCGUGUGUGAAGAAGGCCUUAUGGUUGUAAAGCACUUUAAGCGAGGAGGAGGCUACUCUAGUUAAUACCUAGGGAUAGUGGACGUUACUCGCAGAAUAAGCACCGGCUAACUCUGUGCCAGCAGCCGCCGUAA
rnacentral:rRNA from 1 species